UACGUAGGGUGCGAGCGUUGUCCGGAAUUACUGGGCGUAAAGAGCUCGUAGGUGGUUUGUCGCGUUGUUCGUGAAAACUCACAACUCAAUUGUGGGCGUGCGGGCGAUACGGGCAGACUGGAGUACUGCAGGGGAGACUGGAAUUCCUGGUGUAGCGGUGGAAUGCGCAGAUAUCAGGAGGAACACCGGUGGCGAAGGCGGUUCUCGUGGGCAUUACCUGACGCUGAGGAGCGAAAGCAUGGGGAGCGAACAGG
rnacentral:rRNA from 1 species